ACUUGUUACACAGGGGCAUAUUUUGUGUGUGAAUAACUGUGCAGGGGUUCAUCUUGAAAGCGAGUUUUCAUUUUGAAAGCGCUCCCUCCCUCAAAGGCAGGCUACAGAGAGGAAGUGUAGUCGGGAACAGGUCCCAUUGAAUUCAGUGGGGUUUGCUUGUGAGUCAAGCCCUUACACGGGGCAGCCUUAAAACAGCGGAGGGACUCUGCAUGCGGAGGCUGUCCAGUUGGAGUUUGUAGACUAAGGCUGCAAUUUUAAUGUUAUAAGCACCAGGGAGUAUAAAUAUUCAUAAACUCACUGGAACGUUUUUCCUCGGAAAUACAAAGUGCAAUAUGGUAGAUGGCGACGAUGCGACUUAGUUACGUAUGGCUCUUAGCAGCUGUCACCACCCUUGGAGACAAAAUUAUUUCCCUAAACCGUGAAGCUAAAACACUAGAGUAGGCUAUCGUGGCGUGAGGGCACUACUUCCACCUUCCAUUAGUUCAAUGCACGUUUAAAGUGAAUGCUCCCUGGAGUUCAUACACUGAAGGGCAAUUAGCACUAGCUUUACAUAUAAACUAACUCAGUUUGUCCCUACCAGCACAACAGCUUUUAAGUAAGGCUUUGGCAAAUUGGCAGUAUCUGCUGAAUAAUCUGUAGUACGUUUAAAGACCAACAAAUGGUUGGACAGCAAAUUCCUAACAGUCACCUAAAGACUGGAAAGAAAGGCUCUGUUCGAUCACAAGAAGCAAAACUGCUGGACAAGCCUCUUUCCACGAAGUUACGUUUCUUGUCUGGUAGAAUAGAAGAGCCCUUCUGACAUCCAGGGAAUACAGGGCCUUUUCAAGAGCCAUGCUUGGAGUGCUGAAGAAGAUGUCAUGUGACAUAUUCCUGACCUUGAUGACAUAGAACAGUGACUCACGAGGGAAUUCAGCAAAGGAAGUUUUAAUAGAACUCACUCAGAGCGAGUAACCAGAACAAGAAGCCGUAGAAACCAAAGAACCGAUCCCUACAAUGGUCGCAAAGGAACUGAAGUGCUGGCGCUUCCUCUUGCCUUAAAUAGCCAUGUGGUCCAAUGCGCACAAGCACCAAGAGGAGCUGUGGUAUUCCACACCGACAGGCUUCAGCGCAGAUCUUUGCACAAAGCAGCAGCAUACAUGCGCACAACUGUGUGCAAGGAUCCUACAUGAAAUUGAUGAUGCCGGAUUGUAGAGGCCCAGAAGCAAGGAGCCAACAUUCUAAGAAAGCAAAAGAUUCCUACAGAUGGCUGAAGAUCCAACAGUUUUUUAGAAGAUGCUUCAGAUCCCACACCUACAAGUGCAAACCUGAAUAUGGAAUGAAGGAAAAUAACACCUUUAGAAGCUGUUCACAAAUUUAUAUAACCAUUUUUAGAACACUGUAAGACGUAAAUGAUCAUUACGCAUUACGUCAAUGCAUGGGCAAGUCUGGAAGUAGGCUUAUGUGUUCCCUUUGCCCUCUCACAAUGCACAGAACACCCAAGCUAGGAAAUCCCACUAAAAUUUGAAUGCAGGAUUUCCCAGUGACUGCAGUAAUAAUAAGUGACUGGUAGGGAACAUUAGCCAGAGAUGUGGUGUGUUGUACAUUUGGCAAGAGGAUCAAGGUAAGGAGAACACAAGCUUGAGACCCAUUACUAAUCUCACCUGUGAAGGGUGGGUGAAGGGAGAGAGAGGCCAUAUAUUCCAAACAUGCCCUUAAAUGAUUAACUGAAACAUUCUGGAAGAAUUUGGAAGAUAUCCCUAAAGUUAAAAAGCUCAUUAAUUCCCUCUUCUUUAAAAAGAAAAAAAGAACUAAAGCUAAUUCAUAAUUAUGAAGACGAAUUAGAGAACCCAAUCAAUUGCAUAGUUGUAUUAGAAAGUCAUUAUCAACUACAUUCCAAGCACCUCACUGUUAACUUUCAUCUGUUAGCCAUAUACAGUCCACAGCUCUCUAUACUUGGGAGAGGCUUUUCCUUUUGCUUAAGCCACCUGUUCCUUUUUCAAGCCCUCCUUGAACCAAUUUCUUCAACAAAGUAUUUUCUAGACACACAGCCCUCAGACAUUCCCCAGUCGCCACCAGUUAAACUUGCAGAGACUUCCCAAAAUCCUGUUCUUGCCCCAUCUUUGUCCUGUCCUAUCAAUUCCAGACAACCAAAAUGCAGAGUUCCUACAGCCCCACAUACUGUUAACUAAAUUUCCCCACUAAAAUAAUAAAGUGGGGAAAUGUUGAAUUUAAACAAAUUCUUACCCCUUAGAUUGGCCAUUAGCACGGUUUUCAAAAAAUUUUAUCUCCAAAAUAUCAUUUACACCAAGUGAAUGGACUGCUUCAGUCAAAUCUUCAUCUGUGGUCCACUGAAAAAUAUUCAUAGUUAACAUCUCAUUUUUGAAUACAGUAGGGGAGAAAAACAAUUUCUUUCCUGCUGCACCAUUCAUGGGAGCAGUACUUAAUAUAUUAGAUGCAUUUGAGCUGAUAUAUUCCAUAUGAAAGGAUGUCUUUACCAAAAUUGACUUAAAGAGUUUUUGCUUUUUAAAAUAAACUGCCUAUGCCUAGCUGAUAUUAUCUGAACUUAUUUUGUUUGUUUCAAAAAUAAACUAUUUUUAAUUUACAUCAAUAAAUUUCUAUCACCAA